GAUGAACGCUGGCGGCAUGCCUAAUACAUGCAAGUCGAGCGAACAGACGAGGAGCUUGCUCCUCUGACGUUAGCGGCGGACGGGUGAGUAACACGUGGAUAACCUACCUAUAAGACUGGGAUAACUUCGGGAAACCGGAGCUAAUACCGGAUAAUAUAUUGAACCGCAUGGUUCAAUAGUGAAAGACGGUUUUGCUGUCACUUAUAGAUGGAUCCGCGCCGCAUUAGCUAGUUGGUAAGGUAACGGCUUACCAAGGCAACGAUGCGUAGCCGACCCGAGAGGGUGAUCGGCCACACUGGAACUGAGACACGGUCCAGACUCCUACGGGAGGCAGCAGUAGGGAAUCUUCCGCAAUGGGCGAAAGCCUGACGGAGCAACGCCGCGUGAGUGAUGAAGGUCUUCGGAUCGUAAAACUCUGUUAUUAGGGAAGAACAAAUGUGUAAGUAACUAUGCACGUCUUGACGGUACCUAAUCAGAAAGCCACGGCUAACUACGUG
rnacentral:rRNA from 1 species